rfam:Coriobacteriaceae bacterium KH1P3 genome assembly, contig: Ga0059117_112
GUCAGCGGCCAUGGCAGGGGAGGCACACCUGGUCCCAUUCCGAACCCAGAAGUUAAGCCCCCGAGCGCCGAUGGUACUGCGGAGUCAGUCCGUGGGAGAGCAGGACGCCGCUGACC